rnacentral:rRNA from 1 species
GGUGAACGCUGGCGGCGUGCCUAAUACAUGCAAGUCGAGCGAACGGACGAGAAGCUUGCUUCUCUGAUGUUAGCGGCGGACGGGUGAGUAACACGUGGAUAACCUACCUAUAAGACUGGGAUAACUUCGGGAAACCGGAGCUAAUACCGGAUGAUAUUUUGAGCCGCAUGGUUCAAAAGUGAAAGACGGUCUUGCUGUCACUUAUAGAUGGAUCCGCGCUGCAUUAGCUAGUUGGUAAGGUAACGGCUUACCAAGGCAACGAUGCAUAGCCGACCUGAGAGGGUGAUCGGCCACACUGGAACUGAGACACGGUCCAGACUCCUACGGGAGGCAGCAGUAGGGAAUCUUCCACAAUGGGCGAAAGCCUGACGGAGCAACGCCGCGUGAGUGAUGAAGGUCUUCGGAUCGUAAAACUCUGUUAUUAGGGAAGAACAUAUGUGUAAGUAACUGUGCACAUCUUGACGGUACCUAAUCAGAAAGCCACGGAUAACUACGUG